rnacentral:rRNA from 1 species
CAAGUCGAGCGAACGGACGAGAAGCUUGCUUCUCUGAUGUUAGCGGCGGACGGGUGAGUAACACGUGGAUAACCUACCUAUAAGACUGGGAUAACUUCGGGAAACCGGAGCUAAUACCGGAUAAUAUUUUGAACCGCAUGGUUCAAAAGUAAAAGACGGUCUUGCUGUCACUUAUAGAUGGAUCCGCGCUGCAUUAGCUAGUUGGUAAGGUAACGGCUUACCAAGGCAACGAUGCAUAGCCGACCUGAGAGGGUGAUCGGCCACACUGGAACUGAGACACGGUCCAGACUCCUACGGGAGGCAGCAGUAGGGAAUCUUCCGCGAUGGGCGAAAGCCUGACGGAGCAACGCCGCGUGAGUGAUGAAGGUCUUCGGAUCGUAAAACUCUGUUAUUAGGGAAGAACAUAUGUGUAAGUAACUGUGCACAUCUUGACGGUACCUAAUCAGAAAGCCACGGCUAACUACGUGCCAGCAGCCGCGGUAAUACGUAGGUGGCAAGCGUUAUCCGGAAUUAUUGGGCGUAAAGCGCGCGUAGGCGGUUUUUUAAGUCUGAUGUGAAAGCCCACGGCUCAACCGUGGAGGGUCAUUGGAAACUGGAAAACUUGAGUGCAGAAGAGGAAAGUGGAAUUCCAUGUGUAGCGGUGAAAUGCGCAGAGAUAUGGAGGAACACCAGUGGCGAAGGCGACUUUCGUGGUCUGUAACUGACGCUGAUGUGCGAAAGCG